rnacentral:rRNA from 1 species
GUGAGUGAUGAAGGCCUUUGGGUUGUAAAGCUCUUUUAUCGGGGAGGAAGAUGACGGGACCCGUAGAAGAAGGCCCGGCUAACUCCGUGCCAGCAGCCGCCGG